rnacentral:ncRNA from 2 species
UAUUGAACUUGAGGCGCGGAUGACAAAAGUACGUGAUUACGGAAAGGGGAUUUCGCCGAAAUGUAGCAAAGCUAUGUUGGGGGCUGGUCAUAAUAGGUCAGUCACUGUCACACUCUCUGCCCAGAACAGUGUGAAGUGCAAUCAAUUA